ACCUAAGAAAAUAUCCCUCGGAAGCUAAGCAGGGUCGGGCCUGGUUAGUACUAGGAUGGGAGACCACCUAGGAAGACCAGGUGCUGUAGGCA
rnacentral:rRNA from 1 species